UUUGAGUUCUGCAAGCUCUGGGAGGUGGAACGGAGCCCCUCUAGAGAUCCCACCACUCCGCCCUCUUGGAAAGAACAUUCAGUGUCUCCCACACCAGAACCCAUCCAAGGAGAGAGGAUGCCGAGGUAGUGGCUCAUCUUCCUUGGUCCCAGAGAGGCCUCGGAGCAGUCCUCUCUUGCUUCACAGCCCUCCAACUAUGCUAAGAAUGCGAACCAUUUCCCAUGGGACUGGCAAAGCCAUGAAGCAAUUCUGAGCCCAACCUCCCCAAAUAUCUGCUUUGCAAACAGAUAAAACAGAGAAGUAUCCUGAAAAUGUGCUGUUGGGCCAUUCACCUUAGGCGGUUGUGGUGUCUGCUUGCCUGCCAGGAGGGUUUCUGCUUCCACAGUCCAGCCUGGAGCUGCUGGGGAGCCAGUUUGGGAUGUGGCCAUGUUCCCUGAGGGGCAAAACACAGAAAACUCUCCGGAAGGGGCUUCUCAAGGAAAUGGGGACCAAGCAAGGCUGUGGGCUCUUUUCAGGGAUCCGGCUCCCAUCCCAGUGCUGGACUCAUUGCUGACCAGUCCUUGGGGUCACCUGGGUGCCCUUUGGCUCCUGAGAUGUCUGGGCAUGGGGCUGCCUUCACCAGCUGCAAGAGCCCAAACCCACCUCAACCAGCCUUUGGCAUCUCCAGUCUGCACCAGCUGCAAUUUUGUGGCCCGGGUGGGUGAAGGCAGUGGCAGGGGAGUCCAUGCCAAGCCUGGCAGUGGGAAGGAAGAGGAAGAGGAAGAGGACUUAACUUUCUCAGCAGCUUCAGCCUUCUGAGAAACUCUAGAAUGCCUUGCUGCACUAUGGCAGGCAUAACCAGGUCCCGGUGACCUACAUAACCUUCCAGACAUGGGGCAAGUGGGAGCCCUGAUUCAUGUCAGGGGAGCCUGACAGAGGAAGGGUGGGGGCAGGGAGGAUUUACAAUCCUGAGACGGUGAAACCACCUAAAUAUUUAGUGAUGACUAAGUGAGUCACCGCAUGUCCACAGGGUGGAAUAUUAUGUAAAA
rnacentral:lncRNA from 1 species